rnacentral:tRNA from 1 species
GUAGAGAUGGCUCACUAGUUAAGAUCACUGGCUAGUAUUCCAGAAGACCUGGGUUUGAUUCCCAGUAUCCACA